AUGUUGUUUGAAAGGAGAGAAGGUUAUCACUUCCCUUGACAAGAAUGGAAGAGGCUCUUUGGCCUAACCACGUAAUAUAGUCAAGGCAUUGCUACCAACAUCAUUACAGUACAGGUUUGUACUUUGU